GAUGAAGAACGUAGUGAAAUGCGAUAAUUAAUGUGAAUUGCAGAAUUCCGUGAAUAAUCGAGUCUUUGAACGCACAUUGCGCCUCAUGGCAUUCCGUGAGGCAUGUCCAUCUCAGCGUUAGAAAAUAUUCUCAAAUUUUAGUUUUGUGCUAAAAUUUGGAUCAUGUCAAGGAAGCUAUUACUAUUAUUGUGAUCGCUCUUUGGAAAUUGAUAGGUCUUUGAGUUGCUACUCAUAGAACGUGAUGAAUCUUUCUUCGUUCUAUUGUAAUUCACUCUGGUAGUCCUAAAACUUGUAUGCCUGUGGCAUAUCUUGUAAUUUGACCUGAGAUUGGGUAGGGAUACCCGCUGAACUUAAGCAUAUCAAUAAGCGGAGGA
rnacentral:misc_RNA from 1 species